rnacentral:sRNA from 2 species
GGAAAAUAAUUGCUUAAUCCCGUUAAGCCGGGAGCGGAGGAACCAUUAUUUGGGGUGAAUCCUAUGCCUUGGCACAGGUAGGGUUUUAAACCUUUCGACCCGAACCCGACAGCUAACUUCGUAAGCAAUGGAAAGGGAGGAU